AACUCGGUGUCUGAGGGGUUUUGUCUGCAGCUCGUCCUGCUACAAUGGUGGUUCCUUUAUAGGAUAUUCAUGAUUCCCUACCUUGAAUCAAUGCCGCCAUCUUCCUUUUAACUCAGGGACUAUGAGAUACACAGGUCUUCAAUGCCAGUCACCUCAUGGACUCACCACCUAGUUUAUCAAGGAGAAGUUGAUGCUGGGAGCAACUACAAAAAUGAAGCUACUCUGAUUUAGCCAAAAAGAUUCUCCAUUCUAAGGACUCCUGUGAUUUGAUUGGGAGCCUCUACAUCAUUCAGGAGAAUCCUCUGACCUCAAGUUCUGUAACCUGAAUCACAUCAUAAG
rnacentral:lncRNA from 10 species